AGUGAACGCUGGCGGUAGGCCUAACACAUGCAAGUCGAACGAGUGGCGGACGGGUGAGGAAUACAUCGGAAUCUCCUCUGUCGUGGGGGAUCACGUAGGGAAACUUACGCUAAUCCCGCAUACGCUUGUAUGAGCCGAUGUCGGUUUAGCUAUUUGGGGGGGUAAAGGCCCACCAAGGCGACGAUCCGUAGCUGGGCUGAGAGGAUGAUCAGCCACACUGGAACUGAGAAACGGUCCAGACUCCUACGGGAGGCAGCAGUGGGGAAUAUUGGACAAGGGGCGCAAGCCUGAUCCAGCCAUACCGCGUGGGUGAAGAAGGCCUUCGGGUUGUAAAGCACUUUUGUUGGGAAAGCGGUAACCAAAGAAUAAGCACCGGCUAACUUCGUGCCAGCAGCCGCGGUAAUAG
rnacentral:rRNA from 1 species